UUCUCUUUUCUCCUCCUUUAACCAUUCAACCUACCUUAUAACUUCACAAUAAUAUAAAAGUUGGGAACAGAUUCUGAAUGACUGAAUCUAAACUGGUUCUGGUUCAGAACCAGAUUUGAGCUGGUUUUGAAGUUAAUACCUGUUCUGAAUAGGUUUAAACUGCUAAAUCAAUCCCAAACCAAUUUAAACCAGUUCCGUUCACAUAAUAAUAUGGAAUGGAUGAAUUGUCAGGCAAACAGCAACCUUAAAUCUCAGAAGGAUUACUCUGAAUAAUCCUCAGAAACACCUAUUCAAUUUUUUACAUUUCAUUUGUUUCUAAACUGGAUUGCAUGUUUGUAUUACAAAUUAUAAGCUGCACAUAAUUUGAAGAUACAUAAACAUAAUUACAAUCCAAAACACAGUACACUUUUGCAUAUGCUCUAGCAACUUUUGUUUAUGAUCUAGCAAUUAAUUCCACUCAACAUUAGGACUGGUGACUCGUGGUAUGAAUGGAUAGACAGGGCCCAUGAGAGAGGUAAUGGAUGCAAGCAGAAUGGAGCAAACCACUACAGUGGUUGAUGAACGAUGACUGUGUUGGGUUCUGGCGCCACAUGAUAACUGUGCUAUGGAUAAAGAUGGAUGAUAACCCAAUAAACAAAGGAAAGCAUACAAAAGAGCAGACUAAUCCGUGAAAAUUUAUUACGAGAAGUAGACUCGGCCACGUCCAUCAUCUUCGGAUGCCUUGCAUGUAAAAGCAUAGUCGGUGUAAAUUCCAACAAGCAUUCUGAGUAAACCUCAGAACAUGGCAAAGAAUACAAAAAAAUGUGCUGAAACACAACCAAACCGUUCAAAAUUAUUUUAUUCUACCCAUCACCAUCAUACCAAACACCUUUCACAACAGAGGCACUCACAAACUUAUUCCCUGAAAGUAUCGUGACAAAGAAUAAAGGAUUCAUUUGCAGCCAAUCUUUUAGCAGAUGUUUGAUACAAACUGGGUGUUGUAAUUCUUAUGAACAGAAGACCAACAGAGAGAUGAAGUGCUAUAGAGAUGAAUUGGAUUCAAUUUCUAGCUCAUUUGUGAUGAUAAAACAAUUGGUUUUAUGUAAUGUAAGUAUGCAACUUAUUUUCACUUAUAAAC
rnacentral:lncRNA from 1 species